rnacentral:lncRNA from 13 species
AUUUUCCUUACUGUAAAACAUUACAGCAUCCCUGUAAAUGAAACGCUGUAAUAUGUUUUUACAGUAAGGAAAAUAGUACUGUAAAAUAUAUUACAGCUUCUCUGCUAUAAAGUAAAUUACAGUAUUAAGCUGGCAACUCCGAUGCCAGUAUAAUGCUGUACAUUUACAGGGAAAAGUUUUACAGUGUAGAUAGAUAUAUUAAGGGAGAGAAAGAAAGAGAAAAGGGGGGGGCUGAGAUGACAUGCUCCUAUGCUCAGGCUGGGCUUUAUUAGAGAGGGACCAGGCAUCACAAGACAAUGUGUAAACAGGAAACAGCACAGACAGAGCUGGGGAUAAAAAUAAACCGAAAGUCUCGUCAUCGCUGCUGGGCUGGUAAACCCACUCACACCCUCUCAAACCAAGGCUCCAUCCCUCUGGAACUUGAUACAGUCCUUUACUUGGAUGCUUUUGGCCCCUCGGAUAACAUGUAUGCUGAUUGAUAGGACGGUACCAAUGAAAUUAGGUCACUGGGAACUGCUAAUUUGACACACCUCUCCACACAGAGACAGGAGGAAGAGUUGCCAGUACACAACUACUACUGUAACUGUAAUACGUUCUUAUGACCACAGUGCCUCCAGCAUGCCAGAGGAAACCUGUUUGAUCACCACGCACUGCAAAAUCAUUCUGGCUAUGGAUACGGAGAACAUCAACACAUUAACAUCAACAUACCAGAGGAUAUACCCAUUGGACUUGUGGCUCUGCUGGGAGUUUACCUCAUAUUUGAAUUUUGAAUUCUGCUUUGCAACUAAAAUCACAAUAAACACUGAGAACUAAAAUAUUGUGUUAUUGUUGUUAUUGUUAUUAUUGUUAUGUGUAUGAUUAUUAACAAUAAUAAUAGGGGAGAGGGGGUCAGUUAAAAAAUGUACCCCAAAAGGUUCUUCAAAAUGUUCUUCAAGGAUCCAUUAAAAGGGGUUCUUCAUUUAAAGGGUUCUUCAAAGAACAUAUAGGGGUUUGCCACAGUUUCAAUUUCAAGAACCCUUAAAGGAUACUCCAGGAACCUUUUCAUUUUAGAGUGUGGGCCAGCUGAAAACCGAUAAACAGACUAGGAUACUAAGCUAGGAUGUUGAGACGACAUCUUCUGAGCAGUCAAGGGGUAUGGUUGGUUUGUCUGCUGGGAAAGUUGUGGCCCUUCAAACCAUCAUACACCAUCGACUUUUAACGAUGCUAUGAUUUCUCUUUCAGAGAUUCCUGCUUUGUUUUUUUGUUUUUUUUUGUUUAGAGGUACAUUUCCCUGAAAUCUGGAAACUGCCUCACCAACAUUCAUCCUUGCUUGCCCAUUUAAAAACAAUUACACCAUCUCAAUACCACUACAAAAUAACAAGCAUCGCUUUAUUUUGUUUUCUACCCCUG